rnacentral:rRNA from 1 species
UACGUAGGGGGCAAGCGUUGUCCGGAAUUAUUGGGCGUAAAGAGCGCGUAGGCGGUUUGUCGCGUCUGCUGUGAAAACUCGGGGCUUAACCCCGGGCCUGCAGUGGGUACGGGCAGGCUAGAGUACGGAAGAGGCGAGUGGAAUUCCUGGUGUAGCGGUGGAAUGCGCAGAUAUCAGGAGGAACACCAAUAGCGAAGGCAGCUCGCUGGGACGUUACUGACACUAAGGCGCGAAAGCGUGGGGAGCGAACAGG